rnacentral:rRNA from 1 species
AUGGACGGCGGCUUCAAGUCGCCCAAUGGCACGGGAGGUGACCACGCGCUGUUCAACGGAUUCGGGGUGCAUGGCGCCGGCGCCGCCGUGCAGCCGCCGUUUGGCCAGGGAGGAUCAAUGUCGGGGCAGAGCUUCGGAGGAGGGCCGGCGGCGAGCGGAGGCACGACGGCGCCCGCCUCCUCCGGCGGCGGCGGCGGCGCGGCCCCGCCGCGGCAGACGCGCGUGCGGGCGAGGCGAGGGCAAGCCACCGACCCGCACAGCAUCGCCGAACGUCUCCGGCGGGAGAGGAUUGCGGAGCGGAUGAAGUCGCUGCAGGAGCUGGUCCCCAACGCCAACAAGACUGACAAGGCGUCGAUGCUGGACGAGAUCAUCGACUACGUCAAGUUCCUGCAGCUCCAAGUCAAGGUUCUGAGCAUGAGCCGGCUGGGCGGGGCCGCCGGCAUGGCGCCGCUGGUGGCCAGCAUGUCCUCCGAGGCGAAGAGCAGCGCGAAGAGCAGCAACGGCGGCGGGAACAGCGCGGCGGCCGCGGCCGCCAAGGCGAACGGCGGAGGCGAGAGCGGCGGUGGAGCAGGGGCCGGCGGGCUACGGGUGACGGAGCAUCAGGUGGCCAAGAUGAUGGAGGAGGACAUGGGCACGGCCAUGCAGUACCUGCAGGGGAAGGGUCUCUGCCUCAUGCCCAUCUCCCUCGCCUCCGCCAUCUCCUCCGCCACCACCACCACCACCUCCCCGGCCUCGCUCCUCGCCAGGCAGGCCGUCCGCCCCGGCGCCGCCGCCGCCGCGCUGACCUCCGCGAACGGCGGCGGCGACGACGCCCCCGUCCGGCCCGUCAAGGUCGACGCCGGCGCCGCGUCCGGCGGGAAGCCGUGA